rnacentral:lncRNA from 10 species
AUCUCAACCAGAAAACUAUGACUCUUCCAUAAAGAUACAAUUCCAUGGAGAGCCCAAGAAGCCCCUCAUGAAUGGAUUCCAAAAGUAUCAUCAAGAUUCAUGAUUGAGUAGGAAGCUGCAACAGGUGCCAUUGAGUAAGACCAUGACAGAGAUUGGCAGAUACCAUCAGUAUAUUCUGCAGAGCCUUAAGGAACAUAAGAGCCAGGCUGAGGAGUUGCUGAAAUACUGCAAGAUAGACCUGAAUCUCUGGCUCAAUUGUCUGUCUCAAAAAAAUUAUGCUGCAUAGACAGUCAACUUCUAAUUAGCACAAGAACACGAGCAUCACAGGAGGCCCAAACACCAGGUUUGAUAGAAAGAUCUGCCAUCCCAUCAGAAUGGAGUCUGAAAGAAGAAUUUGAAGAGGAGCAGAGGCUGCUGGCUCCAGGAACAAAUUCAUUAGAAACCAUUUGGGUCAAGUAUAAUUACUCAUAGGGAUUAGGAAAACAAGAAGGAAGAUGGAAAGAGGAUGAAAGUAGUAACUACUCCGACUCUAGCAGUGGGAGUGAAGAUGAAGAUGGCUAGU